rnacentral:rRNA from 1 species
UAGGGAAUCUUCGGCAAUGGACGGAAGUCUGACCGAGCAACGCCGCGUGAGUGAAGAAGGUUUUCGGAUCGUAAAGCUCUGUUGUAAGAGAAGAACGAGUGUGAGAGUGGAAAGUUCACACUGUGACGGUAUCUUACCAGAAAGGGACGGCUAACUACGUGCCAGCAGCCGCGGUAAUACGUAGGUCCCGAGCGUUGUCCGGAUUUAUUGGGCGUAAAGCGAGCGCAGGCGGUUGCUUAGGUCUGAUGUGAAAGCCUUCGGCUUAACCGAAGAAGUGCAUCGGAAACCGGGCGACUUGAGUGCAGAAGAGGACAGUGGAACUCCAUGUGUAGCGGUGGAAUGCGUAGAUAUAUGGAAGAACACCAGUGGCGAAGGCGGCUGUCUGGUCUGCAACUGACGCUGAGGCUCGAAAGCAUGGGUAGCGAACAGGAUUAGAUACCCUGGUAGUCCAUGCCGUAAACGAUGAGUGCUAGGUGUUGGAGGGUUUCCGCCCUUCAGUGCCGAAGCUAACGCAUUAAGCACUCCGCCUGGGGAGUACGACCGCAAGGUUG